rnacentral:rRNA from 1 species
GCUGGCGGCGUGCUUAACACAUGCAAGUCGCACGGAAAGGCCCUGCUUUUGUGGGGUGCUCGAGUGGCGAACGGGUGAGUAACACGUGAGUAACCUGCCCUUGACUUUGGGAUAACUUCAGGAAACUGGGGCUAAUACCGGAUAGGAGCUCCUGCUGCAUGGGGGGGGUUGGAAAGUUUCGGCGGUUGGGGAUGGACUCGCGGCUUAUCAGCUUGUUGGUGGGGUAGUGGCUUACCAAGGCUUUGACGGGUAGCCGGCCUGAGAGGGUGACCGGCCACAUUGGGACUGAGAUACGGCCCAGACUCCUACGGGAGGCAGCAGUGGGGAAUAUUGCACAAUGGGCGGAAGCCUGAUGCAGCAACGCCGCGUGCGGGAUGACGGCCUUCGGGUUGUAAACCGCUUUCGCCUGUGACGAAGCGUGAGUGACGGUAAUGGGUAAAGAAGCACCGGCUAACUACGUG